UCCGGGUGGUUCAGUGGUAAUGAACCUGCCUGCAAUGCAGGAGAUUUAGGUUCAACCCCUGAGUCCGGAA
rnacentral:tRNA from 1 species